GCCAUAGUAGACAGAGUAACCAUGAAUUCUUCAAAGUUAGUAUUUCUAACCUUGUUCUAUGAAAGAGCCUGUUCUGAGUGCUAUAACAAACUACCCUCAGAUCUCACUGGAGUAACACAAUAGGGUUUAUUUCCCACCCGUGUCACAAUGCGGUAGUGGUUGCAUGGGGGAGGGGGGAAGGAGUGUGCUCCAUGCAGUCAGGGAAGUGGCCUCCAUCACUUCUGCCUGCAUUCCACUGGCGAGGGCUCAGUGAAUGCUUCCUGUUGCAUUCGGAAAUGAAUUUUCCUGUGUGCUCAGGAGGAAAAGAAGAAUUUGGGUGAACAUGUAGCAGUCUCUCUGCUCCAUCAACAUAAAGAGAAGCUAAAUGAAAGAAUGCAGUCAGAACAAGUCCAAGGGCGGUCCUAGUAGCAUCCUCUGAUUCAGCUCAACAUCCUCUCCCACAGGAACACAAGAAACAAAUGCUGCCUCUGCCCAGCUGUUCCUCACAGGGCCGCGCUCUUUCCAGUGGCUCCUCAUCAAGUUACCAAGCCGCAAGCCACUGCCUCAGCCAGACACCUUGGAGGACUCUGAUGACCUGUGGCAGCUUUGAGCAGCCCAUCUCUGUCAGAAACCCAGGCAGAACAAGGACACUUCUGCAGUGCAGGCUGAGCCUUGAGCAAAAUUGCAUCCAACAUCCUAUUCCUAUGUUGCAGCAACAAGAACACCAGAGAAGAAAGAGCACGAAGUGGAGUCUCCAUUGCCAAGGCUGUAUGGACCCUCCGCUGAGCCCAUGUAAAACUCCUCCCUGAACGCAGAGUUCGGGACUGAUUUUCCAUCUGGCCUAACGAGAGUCUGAAGUUGCUGAAUCAAACGGAGCCAAUAGGUCUGACUUGAGCUGGCUGAAACAUGCACAGAACUGGGAAAGACAAAUAGUCUUCUUUCUGAAAGGCCUAUCAAGCCAAAGCCUGCUCCUCCCCCAUCCUGCCUGCUUCAGCUCAUAGUCCUGAAAGAGAGCACAUCCUGUUCUUCCAACUCCAGAGACGCUGCUGCCUGUGGAGCAAUAGCAGGCCUGGGGGUAUUUCUACCCAAGAAGCCGGCUGUGUGAAGAGGAAGGAUGGCCUCAUUAAGUGCAAGGACAUUGUCAUACAGACCUGGUUCCCAUGCUAGCAUCCUGAGUGCCAAGACCAGAGAAGCCUGGAGUGGUCUACUGACCUCUAGCAGCCCCAGAGAAAACAUGGAAGAGCUGUGCAAGUUUCCGCACAUUCGAGAAGAAUUCAGGAGUAGUGGAGGCCUGAUUGACCCUGGGAGUCUCCUGCAGAAGUGACAGAUGGACAUUGAGGCAGAAAACAGCAAGACCAACUGGGCUCAUGGACACUCCUGGAACGUCAGCAAGCAGAGGCAUCACGGAUACAAGCAGAUGCAUCCCAGGGGAGGCGGCCCUCGCCAGGAUCCCAUAUCGGUUCUGCACACCAUCGGGGAAGGAAGACAAUAGAGAAAAUCCAGAAUUCACUGGACUCUAAGAUGACAAGUCUGAGAGAACACAGAGGUUUUGUAGAAAGGAUUAUACUUGUGUGUUCUGACAUUAAGCGCAUUGUUUCAUUAUAGAAAAUAAUGUAUGUUUCCUGCACACCCAAGUUUGUGGCUUAAGAAAAUUCUAACCUACUUAUAAAUGUGCCAUUCUCUGUCUCUUCCUAUGCCUUUCCCUGUUUUUCACUCCACACAGAGGGAAGCUGGGGUUAGUGUGUUUCUCGGCAAAUCGAGAGAUAACUAUGACCAUGAAGUGUGAAGUGACAGCAACAGAAAAUCUUCUAGACCAGACGUCGGAAAACAUUUUCUUAAAAGGGCCAGAUAACAAGUAUUUCAGGCUUUGCCGACUAUACAGUCUCUGUUGCAACCCUCCAACUCUGCCAUUAUAGCACAAAGGCAGCCACAGACAAUACAGAAAUGAAUGGGCAUGGCUGUGUGCCAAUAAAACUUUAUUAGGGACACUGAAAACA
rnacentral:lncRNA from 1 species